rnacentral:rRNA from 1 species
CAGCAGCCGCGGUAAUACAGAGGGUGCGAGCGUUAAUCGGAUUUACUGGGCGUAAAGCGUGCGUAGGCGGCUUUUUAAGUCGGAUGUGAAAUCCCUGAGCUUAACUUAGGAAUUGCAUUCGAUACUGGGAAGCUAGAGUAUGGGAGAGGAUGGUAGAAUUCCAGGUGUAGCGGUGAAAUGCGUAGAGAUCUGGAGGAAUACCGAUGGCGAAGGCAGCCAUCUGGCCUAAUACUGACGCUGAGGUACAAAAGCAUGGGGAGCAAACAGGAUUAGAUACCCGGGUAGUCCCUGUCUCUUAUAC